ensembl:lncRNA
GGACUGCUCAAUUAAGGAGCAAGAAUCUACUUUGGGGUUGGGAAAUAACCUUGUAUGACAGUCCCAUACAGGGGUGAGUAGGUGGUAGGCAUCUCCUUUAUUGACAAGUCCUUCUCUCUUACCCAGAGAAAUGAAGGGAUGUGAGGUAGAAGGAGGAUGUGAGGACAGUAGUUGCUGUGAGUACAAGAAGAGUGAGUGUAGAUAGGUCAGGAGAAGAGAAUUUAUGACAUUAAGUAUUUGGGGCAAGGAAUUCUUAGAAAUAGGUACUUAGGAGGAAGGGGACCAUGGCCCACUCUCUGACCCCACUCUUCUUGACCUGUUUUCACAGGGAGCGUGAAUCUGAUGUGGACCUUCCUCCACCUUCUCUUCCUGGAGCAAACUCUUCACCCCAGGCCUGCUCUCCUCUACAAAACAUACAGACAACACCAGGUCCUGGGUCCCUGGAGGAUACCACCGAUACUGUGAGGUGAUGGUGAAGUGAUGGUGGCUGAUGCACAGGGGUAAAUGCAAGACGAUCAACACCUUCAUUCAUGAGGAUGUGGCCACGUUGGCAUAUUUCUGCAGAAUUCCACUUCUGCCCUCUACCAACAGCUGCUGCGUGCACAACGGUCACAAAGUGCGCACCAUGCCCAAAGACCCCUGAGAUCAAGAGUUGCAUGCUUUAUCCUUGGAGCCAUCCAGGUGCCCCUACACAAUCCAUUUCUGAAGGCAGUUUUUCUACCCACAAGAGGGAGAAUCUGUAGGUGACUUUCUUCUCUACCCUGUGACUCCACCAAAAUCGUGUCAAGGCUUUAAAUCAAAGGAAGGCACCUGACUCUAGGGCACCCAUCCACGGACUGACAGUCUGGGUGCCCAUGAAAGAAACUGGUCUGGAGAUUUUACUGUCCUGGAAUAAGGCUGACAAAACUGGAUACUCUUAUUUUCAUUUCCCCCCAUAAUUCCAGGAGCUGUGAUUGUAUUGUCUUUGUUUGUGACCUUUAGCACGUAGCCUAUUGCUUGCUAUAAGAGAGCUUUCAAUAAAUCUUUAAUGGGCCAUUGUAAUAGGUCCUGCUGGUGCUAAGGAUUUUUUGCAGAUUCUGUUUUCAGAAUGGGAAAGUUCCCUUCCCUUCUGCUCUCCGUUUCCACCUGUAAAUGGAUUGUGAAUUUUGUUGAAUAAUUUUUCUUCAUCUGAUGACACAGUCAUAUACUAUUUCCAUCCUAAUCAGUUAAUGGAGUGGAAUUGAAUAAAAUUUCUGGACAUAAGCAACUCCAUUUUGAAGCUCUAUUUUCCUUGUCAACUAAUGAACUCUUGGACUGGGCCAGAAGCCACAAUGGUUUUACAAGCAGUUCCUCAUAAAAUUUCAAAUGAGCAACUGGCAUUAGGAUCAUGUGAGGACAGGAAAGUUAAUUAAUACAUACCAGUGACCGUUUCAUUUGAUAGCACCAAUAAAGUAAUCAGUAAGAUAGUAAUCAGAAGCGGUUCAAUCAAUUAGCACCAAAUUACCUGUUUUUUUUCUUCCUUCUCUUAUCUAAAGCAUGUAAUUACCCCUUCCUUCUUUCUCAUAAAAAACCCCCAGCUUUCCCCACCUGAGGGGGCACUUUUCUGGUUACCCUUAAAUCUAGUCCCACAUUGUAACUCUGAGACCCCAAAUAAAAGCCUUUGCUCUUCUUCUUUUUCUUUUAAAAUUUAUUUAUUUAUUAUGAGAGAGAAAGAGAAAAAGAGAACGGGGUAGGGGCAAAGAGAGAGGAGAGAGAGAAUCUCAAGCAGGAUCUGCAUUGUCAGGGAAGAGCCUGAUUCCAGGCUCUAUCCCACAAACCACAAAAUCAUGACCUGAGCAGAAAUCAAGAGUCAGAUGUUCAGUGGACUGAGCCACCCAGGUGCCCCACCUUUGUUCUUUUUCACUUCUGCCUUCUUUUCUUGGUUAAUUCUGGGUGAAUUGCAUUAGUUGAUUUUAGACUAUUAAACCAGCUUUGAGAUAAAUCCAUUUUGGUUAUGCUAAACUGUCUUUUUAUAUAUAAAUGAAUUUACUUUGCUAAUAUUUAAGGAUUUUAUUUUGCAUUUAUGGUCAUGAAUGAAAUUGGUAUGUAUGUAUGUAUGUAUGUAUCAUUAUUAUUAUUAUUAUUUGUAUUAUCUUGUCUGAUUUUAGUAUCCAGGUUGUAUGUUAGCCUUCAGAAAUUAGUUGAAGAGUAUUCCUUCUUUUUCUAUUUCCUAUAAUUGGAAUUGUGUGUUAUUUUACUAUUUACAGAACUCAUCUGUAAGGCUGUCUGGUGCUGGCAUUUUCUAUAUGACUGUUUUUUAACUUAUGUUUCAAUCUCUUUAUAUUGUUAUGUAGAUACUGAGUUUUCUGUUCUUUUUUUUUUUUGAAGUUUAUUUAUUUAUUUUGAGAGACAGAGAGAGAGCGAGUUUGAGGCAGAGAGAGGGGGGUAGAGAGAGAAUCCCAAGUAGGCUCCACACUGUCAGUGUAGACCCUGACACGGGGCUCAAACUCAUGAACUGUGAGGUCAUGACCUGAGCGUAAAUCAAGAGUUGGAUGCUUAACUGAGCCAUCCAGGUGGCCCUCUAUUUCUUCUUGAGAUAGCUUUAUCAGGUUGUAUUUUUAUCUAGGAAUUUAUCCAUUUCAUCUAAAGAAUUUUAAAUAUAUCAGCAUAACCGGAUGAUGUAUGAAGUGAUUGUAUACCUGGAACUAAAGUUAUACUGUAUGUAAAUAAAAAAUUUUUAUUUUUAUUUUUAUUUUUUCAACGUUUAUUUAUUUUUGGGACAGAGAGAGACAGAGCAUGAACGGGGGAGGGGCAGAGAGAGAGGGAGACACAGAAUCGGAAACAGGCUCCAGGCUCUGAGCCAUCAGCCCAGAGCCUGACGCGGGGCUCGAACCCACGGACCGCGAGAUCGUGACCUGGCUGAAGUCGGACGCUUAACCGACUGCGCCACCCAGGCGCCCCAGAAAUUUUUAAAUAUAUAUAUCAACACAAAGCUAUUCAUAAGCUAUUUAAUAUUUGCAGCAUCUGUUUUUACAUCUUAUUUCUGUUAUGACAUUUUAUUUGUACCCUUUAUAUUGAUAAACUUAUGAGAUGUGUCUCUGUUAUUAGGCUUAUUAAACAAAUACUUUUUUUUUAAAGUAGGCUCCAUGGGCAUGGAGCUUGAACUAACAACCCUGAGAUCAAGACCUGGUGCUCAAUGGACUGAGUCAUGCAGGAGCCCCAAACAGUGACUUAAAAACAUUUUUUUUAAUGUUUAUUUCUGAGAGAGAGAGAGAGACAGAGAGUGAUCAGGGGGAGGGGCAGAGAGAGAGGGAGACACAGAGAAUUUGAAGCAGCUCCAGGCUCUGAGCUGUCAGCACAGAGCCCAACAUGGGGCUUGAACCCACAAACCAUGAGAUCAUGACCUGAGCCAAAGUCACCCGCUUUACUGACUGAGCCACCCAGGGACCCCCCCAAACGGUGACUUUUUCUUAAGGUUUAUUUAUUUUGAGAGAGAGAGAGAGAGAGAGAGAGAGAGAGAGAGAGAGAGAGAGAGAGAGAAUGAAUGAGUAGUGGAGGGGCAGAGAGAGAGGGAGAGAAAGAAUCCCAAGCAGGCUCCAUGCUGUCAGCCCAGAGCCUCAAGUGGGGCUCAAACUCAUGAACCAUGAGAUUAUGAACGGAGCUGAAACCAAGAGUCACACGCUUAACUGACUGAGCCAUCCAGGCGACACCCCCCUAAAUAAUGACUUUUUCAGACAUACCAAAGCUAAAAGAGUUCAUUGCCUGAAAGAAGUCUUUCAGAUAGAGAAAAAAUGACAGCAGGUGAAAAUAGGAAUCUACACAAGGAAUGAAAGACGAUGGAAAUUGUAGCUAUAUGACAAUAUGAACAAUUGCUGGGAAUAAUGCAUGGGAAUAGUUUGGAAAGUUUUGAUUUACAAUGCUAAACUAUGGGAUUUUGUUCUCCAUGAAGGAAUAUGCUUAUUUUCUAAAGGAAAACCUCUGAUAAUAUAAUUUUAUUUAGCCUUCCAAUAAGUGUCAAACACAGUAAACCUGUCUCCAAAUUAAAAAGAAAAGUCUUUACAAGAAUUUUAAGGAGAACAGAUCCCCACCCUGGUAAUCACAUGCACUUGAAACAGCUGUGGCAGAGGGAAGGCCGCCACCACUGAGGCAAAAUUUCAAAUACAGUUCUCAGUUCUCAGGCUGUUGUCCUGAGUAGGGAAAAUAACUGAAGUACUCCGCAAUAAGAGAAAGGAUAAAAAGUGAUGGCGGGGCGUCUGGCUGGCUCAGUCGGUUGAGCCGGUGGUUCUUGACCUCGGUCGUGAGUUUGUUCCUCAUGUUAGGUGUAGAGAUUACUUAAAUAAACAAACUAUGGAAAAAAAUAAAUGAAGGGAAUCUAGGAUGGAAAACAAUGCUGCCACUAUAAAAAACACCCUAGGAGAAAGCUUAUAGGAAAGGGAAAAUAUUCCCUAUAUAUUGUUAAGCAACAAACAAACAAAAGAACACAACAACAAAGAACACCAAAAGAAGAAAAGAAGAAAAGAAGAAAAAAAGCAGAACAUAAAAUAGUAUGUAUGCUAUCACACAUUUUAGUUUUAAAUUUAACCAGACACAAAAUAAUAGUUGGACAUUUGUGAAUAUGAAGAGUAUCUUCAACUGGUGAGAUUACAGCUAACUUGUUUUUGUUUUUUUAAGAUUUGUGAUUUUCUCAAAUUUCCUAAUGUUUCUGUAUUGAAAAUGUGUUACUUCUCUAAUAAGGAAAAAAAAUGAAGAUGUUAUUUAAAAUAUUGGCUCCUUAAAUCAGAGAUUCUGAGGUUUCUUUACAGACUCACCAAAACCCACUUCUUGCUGCAUUGGGGACUGCAUACUCAGCUAGACUUUUGGACUCCUCCUCCAGGUGGGUGAUACAUAUAGAGGAAGAAUGUUUGGAAUUCUAGAGUUGCUCAGAGGAUUUUUUGACUGCUUUUUAUGAGGCCAAUCCACUUCUCCCCAAGAACACUUCAAGAAAAAUGCAUCACCCCCUGGGUAACUGCAAUUUUCUCUUUGUUGUCUUUCAGAAGGCUGAUUGGUAAUACACAUCAUACAGGGAAUCCCU